rnacentral:sRNA from 1 species
AGCAGCAGUUGGAAAUGAUGUAGAAUCUGGGGAGAGACCUUUUAAAGAAAGGUGAUAUCAAGGCUUGUUUGUGGACUGAGAAUGAUGUGUGAUCUUGGAAGUCAGCUUGAGAAUGGAGCAGUCAAGACACAAAUUGGUUGGCAGGUCAUGAUCAACAUGAGAGGAAUCUCUAUCCUGCUUCCAGGCUAUCCUUGGCACUGUGAUUUUUAAUAAAAUAAUGCACUGACUUUGCAUUCAAAGAAAUUACUGGACAGUCAAAAUAUACACACAUAUGCAAAAAUUGAGGAGCAAUUUCCCAUAAAAUACAAACCUUGGAAAUCAAGAAAGUUCUGGAAUGAUGAAGCUGUUCAUGCCAAGACCGAAAGUGCUGGCCCAGUAUGAGUCCAUUCAGUUCAUGCCGUGACAAUUUUCUUGGAACUCCUUUUUAUUGCUUGUGCUCCUGAUACAUCAGCCCAUUUCAUGGUACGUUGAAGCAUGCCUACCUGUGGGAUUGCUGGAUUCCCAGCCCAGUGAGGUAAUGACCAAGCAGCGUCUUCAGAGGAAGGAUAGCUGUACAGCGUGGUGAAGGACUCAAUGAGAAGGUGCAUUGCCCAUCCUUCAGAGAGCUCUGUGUGAAUCCAUAAAAGGUGCUUAAAGCUUUUCACUCCAUGAAGCCUCAUCUGUCUCAUGAAAGCAAUAAAUGCCUGGAGGUUCAUCCAUCAAGUGAGGGGCCUUAACCAUGUUUCCAACAACAGCCUUUCCAGCCCCAUCUUCCUAUGAAGGAGAA